UGCACAAAUUUCUAAGGUCUCUUCUAAUUUUAAGCUCCUCUGCUGGCACCUCCCAAGCAUUGCAUGGUAGGCAAGAAAGAUUUUCAGGAGAAAAAUCUGGAAAACAAAUAGCAUUUUCAUAUAAAAUUGCAUUGAUUUGUGGCUCCAUUUCACUACCCCGUCCAAAAAUAUGUGAGACAUGGGCAUAUGGAAAAUGACUUUCUUCAUCCCAAUUAUAAAUUUGUGCAGCUACCAGCUCC
rnacentral:misc_RNA from 1 species